GACGUAGGAUGCGAGCGUUGCUCGGAUUUACUGGGCGUAAAGCGCGUGUAGGCGGGCGACUAAGUCGGAUGUGAAAUCCCUGGGCUCAACCUAGGAACUGCAUUCGAAACUGGUCACCUAGAGUGAUGGAGAGGAAAGCGGAAUUCCCGGUGUAGAGGUGAAAUUCGUAGAUAUCGGGAGGAACACCAGUGGCGAAGGCGGCUUUCUGGACAUUUACUGACGCUGAGACGCGAAAGCGUGGGGAGCAAACAGG
rnacentral:rRNA from 1 species